GAUGAACGCUGGCGGCGUGCUUAACACAUGCAAGUCGAACGGUGAAGGCGGAGCUUGCUCUGCUGGAUCAGUGGCGAACGGGUGAGUAACACGUGAGCAAUCUGCCCCUGACUCUGGGAUAAGCGCUGGAAACGGCGUCUAAUACUGGAUACGAGCUGCGAAGGCAUCUUCAGCAGCUGGAAAGAACUUCGGUCAGGGAUGAGCUCGCGGCCUAUCAGCUUGUUGGUGAGGUAACGGCUCACCAAGGCGUCGACGGGUAGCCGGCCUGAGAGGGUGACCGGCCACACAGGGACUGAGACACGGCCCAGACUCCUACGGGAGGGAGCAGUGGGGAAUAUUGCACAAUGGGCGAAAGCCUGAUGCAGCAACGCCGCGUGAGGGACGACGGCCUUCGGGUUGUAAACCUCUUUUAGCAGGGAAGAAGCGAAAGUGACGGUACCUGCAGAAAAAGCGCCGGCCAACUACGU
rnacentral:rRNA from 1 species